rnacentral:rRNA from 1 species
UGAGGAAUAUUGGUCAAUGGGCGAGAGCCUGAACCAGCCAAGUAGCGUGCAGGAUGACGGCCCUAUGGGUUGUAAACUGCUUUUAUAUGGGAAUAAAGUGAGGGACGUGUCCCUUAUUGCAUGUACCAUAUGAAUAAGGACCGGCUAAUUCCGUGCCAGCAGCCGCGGUAAUACGGAAGGUCCAGGCGUUAUCCGGAUUUAUUGGGUUUAAAGGGAGCGUAGGCUGUUUGUUAAGCGUGUUGUGAAAUGUAAGAGCUCAACUUUUAGAUUGCAGCGCGAACUGGCAGACUUGAGUGCGCACAACGUAGGCGGAAUUCAUGGUGUAGCGGUGAAAUGCUUAGAUAUCAUGACGAACUCCGAUUACGAAGGCAGCUUACGGAAGCGCAACUGACGCUAAAGCUCGAAGGUGCGGGUAUCGAACAGG